CCGGGCUGUCCGUCUUGUUCCAAAAAUAAGGGGUGGCUUCUGCGGCCUGGAAGGAGGGCUUUGUUCUGCGGGGUAUCCCUCAUGUCCAGAUACCCUCAACCGGCUCCCAUUUAUGAUGUCCCCAUGUGAGCCCCAAAUCAGGGCCUCCUUGGGGUGUGUUUAGGACCCUGGAUUUGGAGAGUGUAUAGUCCCUCUAUACUCGAGCUCCAGCCUCCACUUUCUCUGGAACCCAUGGGUGGGGCCCCCAAAGACCCCCACCCUAACCAGAAUGAGAAGGGAGAAGCGGCUUCCCAGCGGCGCCUCCAGGCUCCUCCAAGGAAGUUGCUCCUCGUCGCUGGGGGGCGCAACGGAGCCGCCGCCGAGGGGGUACCCACUGACCCGGCCUGGGCGCAGCCCGGCCCGCCGCUCGCUGCUUUUCCAGAUGUGGAGCAGGAUUGUUGGACGAGAGCUGCCCAGGAAAAAUUCCAAGUAUGAAAGCUAUAGGAAACUAAUGUUGGGUCAACCCCCCCGCCCCGCUAACCAAAUGGCCUGCCAUCAGCACUUUAGGCAAGGCUCAGCCGGCUGCCCAUCUGCCAUAAGAGAGACAGCUAUGAAAGCCCUUACUGCCUGCUGGAUGAACAGCCAAAAGACCUGAAUUCCUGGAGUGGGAUCUGAGAAAUACAUUCUCUGGAGAGACCAUUUCCUCCUGUCGCCCACCUCCACAGACUGGGUGGGGGCGGGAUGGAGGCAAUGGUUUCCAGCAGAGAAGAACCCUCCCUCCCCCCCUCCCCCCCGCCUCGCAUCCUCCAGUUACAGCUUGGAGCUCUGGAUCUCAUCAUUUUUCCCUGUCGUGAAGCAUCCUGCAAAUGUAAGAAGGACCCACAAUACAAAUCUUGUCCAUUGGACCUACGACACAGAGGUUCAACUGUCACCGAAGUCCACGGCCGCAGAAUCUCCAGGCCCCUGUAGAUACGGCCCCUAACCACGUUGUAAGGGGCUUUCGGGUCUCUUGAAGACAUCACAGACCUAAGGGGUCGUGUCUGGGUUUUUCCCAUCAUAGACAUGUUUGGCACUGAGCCCCUAAACAUCUGGCUGCUUGACUAAAGCUCCCGGGUUUUAUCAGGAGGUUCGGCCCCGUGGGGACGGAGCUUGUGAGCCCUCUCACAUUUGAAUUACCCUGAGAUACAGUCAGAAAGAGUGACAGGAAGCAGGGCAGUAUGCUCUCCACCACCAGGAUCAUUACCACCCAAGCAUCUGGAGCCCAGGUAGGCCCAGGGGACAUCUUUAGCAAGUCCCAGAAGAAAGUCCUCUGGCGUCUCCCAGCGUGGCAAGGCGGGCAGAGGUCCCCUGUCCUGGCCCGUCCUGAAAAGACGGAGUACGGUUUAACCCCGAAAAGGCAGAGGGGAAGAAAAAAGUCCCCGUUGUUAACAGCGUCCAGGGUGUGCUCUCAUUUUCCUGGGAUCUUAAGCAGAGUCAAAAAAUAUUAUUUCUUUGUGCUUUUCUAAAUAUUUUUAAUUUUUCAAAAAAAAAAAAAACCUCCUUGCCUUCCUUUCUGCCAAA